AACGCACAUUGCGCCCAUCGGUAUUCCUUUGGGCAUGUCUGUUUGAGCGUCAUUACAACACCUCAGCGCAAGCUGGUUUUGAGCAGUGAGACCACCCGUUAGUUCGGGCCCUCCCGCUUUAAAGUUGUAAGCUCUGCUGGCUACUGCCUGACCUAAAACAUAGUAAACCAUUUGCUUGUUGAAAGGUAAGGUUUGUGGUUCGGCCUGAACAACACCUUCACUUUUAAGGUUUGACCUCAGAUCAGACAAGGAUACCCGCUGAACUUAA
rnacentral:misc_RNA from 1 species